AGCUAGCAGAUACACCUGCACUACUGCUCGCCCUGUCGAAAUUAAAUGGUUAACGUUGACAUGCCGGCAGUUUGCUAAAGUAUUUCCGUGACGUACACCGCCAGCAUUCGGUCAGUUACACGCUUCGCUAACGUCUGUAGCAGCGACGCUAGCUCACAACAAGCUGGUGACAUGACUCUUGUUUACAUCCCUGUACAUGCUAGCUAAAAGGUUAGCACACUUCACGUUAGCAUCAAUUUAAAGACGCGGAGCGAGCCCGAAAUAUUCAGCUAAAAUAUGUCUGACAGCUGGGCUUCGUCCGCGUCCCUCUGCUCGUAAAGAAGCGAAGAAGAAGCGAGAGCAGCCGACGCUCCAUGUGUGUUGCCACGGCAACGGAGCGGGAGGACGAGGGAGAGGCGCUGCUGUCAUCCACAUCAGUGCACCGCUGCAGGCACACAGCAGUUCACACGGGCUGUGCAUGGAGUUGGGAUCUCCUGCCAUGCCUGUGACUAGCUGCUUCGUCAUCUCUGUGCCACACCCUGCCAAGGAAAAGGACAACCACCUGACCUUGAUGCUCACAUCAGCCCAACCCUCACUUUUUCCCUCCGCCGCCUAUUACCGUGAGGUACCAUUUAUUCCUGCUCUCUUGAGGCGUCUUGAUAGUGUACAGAUUUUUAUUGCAUUCCAUUGCUUUGCAUG